rnacentral:rRNA from 1 species
UACGUAGGGUGCGAGCGUUAAUCGGAAUUACUGGGCGUAAAACGUGCGCAGGCGGUUUUGUAAGCCAGAUGUGAAAGCCCCGGGCUCAACCUGGGAAUGGCAUUUGGGACUGCAAGGCUUGAGUGCGGCAGAGGAGACUGGAAUUCCUGGUGUAGCAGUGAAAUGCGUAGAUAUCAGGAGGAAUACCGAUGGCGAAGGCAGGUCUCUGGGCUGACACUGACGCUCAUGCACGAAAGCGUGGGGAGCAAACAGG